rnacentral:sRNA from 1 species
UGCUGUGCUAUCACUCCAGAGACAUCUGUCUCCGCAUUGAUGACCAGGGUUGAUUCGGCUGAUGUAGCUGACUAGGUGGGUGUCCCCUUCCUCUCUCACUGCUCCAUGUGUGUCCCUCCCAAAGCUGCGUACUCGGUGGUAGAGGACGGCCUUCCCUGAAUAGAGAGGGACCAGUCUUCGGUCGAGGGUAUAUGAGUAGCUGCGCUCCCCUGCUAGAACCUCCAAACAAGCUCUGGUAUUAAUUUACUUUUUAAAAGUGAAUAUUUUCUGGUUCUUUUUUCUCAUCAUUUAUUUUCUUUGAUUAUAUAA